GGGAGCUCUGUCCAACCUGGAUAAGAUGGUCUUAGAGCUCGCUGCAGGCUGAGGGUCCUCCUACCAAAUCCUGGCUCUUUCCUUCUCUCCUUUCACAGAUGUCAGAACUGCAGCUCAGCCUGAAGACUCUCUCCAAAAUAUUCCUGCUCCCUCUCCCCACCCCUUUAUCCUUCACAUGGAUUUUCCCCUCCC